AAACCAUGUUGAGGACAUUGUCUGAGCAACCCUUUGUAUCUUUUUCACGCCUUAUAAUAACACUCAAAAUCAAGCUGAGACAAUGAAGUGAUUUCAUCCAUCAACUU
rnacentral:snoRNA from 1 species